CUUGGGUCCUCGUCUCACAGACGCUUGGCUGUUACCAUCAUUAGCGAUUUGCUAAUCAUGCUAAGGUUAAGUAUUUAUGGUUAGCAUGGGGGGGGGGGUACAGUAGGAGCAGCAAACACUGAGACAACUUUGCAGCCUUCAGAGUUUGUCUUGUCCCCCUCGGCCGCCGUCCUGAUUGGCCAGCAGGAUUUUACCGAGGUGCGGUACCAGGACACCUCCGUCUCUGUCCACAUGGGGGCGGUAGAGAACCACGAGAAAAAACCUCCACGCCGUGACGCAACCCAGCACCGGAGUGACGUCAGAGUUCGGGAACGUUGGGUAGUGCCAGCGUCCCUGGAGAGGCGGCGUGGGCGCGCCGUGACGUCCACGUCCUGCUCGAGGUCGCCCGAGGUAACCGAGGAGCCUUUGACGCUAGAACCUCACUCGGCAGGAUCAACAGAUGAUGGGUGAGGCAGGUGCCCCCCCCCCAUGCAAUCAUUCUACUUGUUGAUUAUCUCCUCCUAAUGAGUGACUAAAGGCGUAAAUAUGGAUGGCAGACGCCUGCGUGGACAAUUGAUUUCUUUCACUCCUUUUCCAAGCUGAGCCUGAAUUAUUCCCAGCAUCCAUCACUUCCAGCCCCUCGCUGACCUUUGACAAGGACUUUGCUCAACUGGAGAUGCGUGACAUGGAAGCUAGUGGGGGGGCGGGGGUGAGAGAGCAACAUUUUCCUUUUUGUUCUUCAUCAAAUAGUCUUCGUCCUCCAUCGCUGCUCCUUCCCACCAGAGAACCUCCAGAAGGCUGCCCGCAUGCUUGUGAAAGACUCGUGGCUCCGAGUCCAAUUCCCUCACGGCAGGCGUUUGCAUGAGCGUUCACCAGGAGAGCAGCCGUGCUUUCAUCGCUCGUUGGCUCCUUUUGGCUUCCUCGCUUCGCCUCGACUCGGUCAACCAUCUGCUCCCCAGACAUUUGACAGACCACCAUCAAGAGGCCAGCAGGAACUCGUGUGUGUGUGUGUGUGUAUGUGAACCAACACAUCAGUAAGACCGCUGCUGUUUAUUUGUGACUGUACAAAGAACCCCCCCCCCCACAUGUUCAACACCAGCUGGCUUGUAGUUUGACAGAGGAGACCAGAAAAAGACAAAAUGGCGACCAUCUUGCUGAGCAAAACGGGUCCUUAGUGGCCACUCUUCCUGUGGAAUGAGACCAUCUUUGGGGGAGACAAAGCUCCUUCUGUGUGGAGGUUGGACAAAGAUGGCGUCCUCCAGUUGUCCGGUUUAAAAGGACUGGGUGGAGUAAACGUCUGCAUGGUCGCCUGUCUCCAAGCUGCCAGUGGUCUCUUCCAGAAGCAAAAGGCCAUCUUGAAGAAGAAAUGUUGUUUGUGUGAAGUAGCAAAGACUUUCAUUAGCGCUGACCUUUUAUUGGCCGCCAAGACGAUUCUGGCCUGAAGCGUCUCCUCACAGGGUUCAGGUGUGGAAGAUGCCAUCAUCUGUGGCGCUCCGCUCCUCAUGCAUUAUUCAUUGGCGGCCUCUAUCUCCUAAUGAGACAACGCUGGCUUGUCAAACUCCAUCCCCGUCUCCUGCUGGAGCCAACUCAAGGGUUCAUAUUGCUCGGCUUAUGAAAGCCAUUUUUACAAAGUAGGAUCCAAUAUUCAUCAAGAGAUUUUCCUAGUUGGAGCAUCGAUGAGCUGACACUGACCCAACAUCGUCAUGACGACAGCCCCCUGGGGAGCAAUAUUACGAGGACACGAAACCCCGCAGUCACCUUUAACAGAUGACACGGCUCACCUUGGCAUUGUUGGGAAUGGAAUAUUUUCCACUCUGUUUCGGAUGAGUACUGCACCUACAACCAGAGAAGACAAAAUGACAAGGCCUUUCACUUGGACCACUUGGCCCUGUUCCUUCACACACGGGUACUUGGGGUGACCUUCCUGCCUCUUGGCCGAGACCCCAUCAGACCAGUACGCCAACAAAGAGUUAACAGGAAGUUGGCGGAUCAUUAGGACCGAGGAAGUGGGAGUCUUGGGAGAGCCGGGGUGGCUGACCUUUCUCUCCAGUGCUGGCAUUGCAGUUGCUGGCAUCCAUCCAAACAGAAGACUUGGUUGGCCCGCCCCCGGUAGCGCUUUCAGUGGCGUGCUGAUUGAUGGUCAAAUGGAGGCGUGUGCGAGGGGGUCGUGCCAGUGAGAUGGAACAUAUGUGUCCUCCUCACAUUUGUAACCCCCGCCUGAACUCCCCCUCUGGGCCGACACAUCUGCUGAGCCCCCGGCCUUGGUCAGCGGGGGUGCCGAUCGCCGAUCACCUCCCGACUGGACUGGGUGUCCUUCACGAGGUCACGACUUCAUGAUGCUUGGAUGCAGACCUGCUAGCGUAGCGCCCCCUAGCGUCCCCUUGAUGGCGCUUCACCCUCUCCUGACCCGACCGUGAGGAGAUUCAUUUUGGUGCUCAUUCUCACCAAAACCGCCGUGCUUUACACUUGGGGUCAAGGGUCACAAGAUCUUGCAAGAUUAAAACGUGACAACAUUUCUUGUUGACUCUUGAGGGCCCUCGGCCUGGGAUGAAGUAAUCCCAGGAUGAAUCCAAGUGAAGCCAUAAUCCAUACUUUGGUGUGUUUGCUCCAUAGAACAACGGCAUGAAUGGAGUGAGACCCUUUGUGGAGUGGGUGGAGGCAGGGCUGCUAGCAUACACACACUGUGACGUAGUGGAAAUAUUAGUAGAUUGCACUUUUCUCUAGAUUGUACUCCUAACAGAAGAUGACGGACGUCCUCCACGGUCGUGCAGCGUUCAUCUGAAGCGGACCGCAUGGAAACCUCAGCAUCAGCGUGUCUGCAGUUGGAGGUUGCUGAGCCGGAGUCCACCUCAGCAGGAUUAGGAUUUCUCCUCCCUUACUUGGCGUUUGUCAUAACGCCCCGGCGCAGUGAUCACAUGACCUUUACUGCUCAUGCUGCCGUGGCGACGGCGGAGAGGAAGAACAGGCCGCAGGGAGGCUCUUUGGCGUGAACAACGUGCUCAGCAGCUUGCAGCAGUUGAGGAAUGUCCGACUGUUUGACCCUGAGGGACGCCUGUCCAAAGAAGAAAUAGCUCUCCUAAUUAAGUCCGUCCUCCGACCGCACGGCGGCCAGCCCAGCGACCCCGACUUCGCUGAGGAAUGAGCGCUCAUACGGGGAAGCGUGCAGCCGGCGUGACACGGACGUGGCGGAUGGCGAUUACCUCCACAUGAGGACUCAUUAGCGCUGCGGCCGCAUCAUCACGUUAGCGCUUGUUGAGGAAAAUCCGACCUGACAAGUCUUUAAUUGCGGGACGCUUUUCUAUUGGCGUGAAUGAUGUGCACCAGGACCAGGACGCCCCCCCCCCCCAUGGAAGGUGGCGGCGUGUUCGGGUAACCCGAGUCCGACACCUCAUCAAGUCUCCUCCUCCUCCUCUCACUCUGCGCUCCAGCGCCCUUGUCAUCGUCUCGUGUCCCUCGGCGCCCCCCCCCCAUGUCCCACUUCCUCAGCGGGGGAGAUUUACCACUUUGCUGAGGCUCGCCGACAUGAAGGCUAUUUAUUUCCUCGCUCAGACGCCUGGCAGAUUGAGAGCUUGAUAUGGAGGGCGGAUCUGGGUUCCCUCCACUGAGGAUCACGUCCUCUCCCGCCAGCCCCCCCGCCUGCAUCCAGUGUCACAUCAUUGGAGUGCAAACAUGAAAAUAAAAUCAAAAAUGAAAUGUCAUCUUCUGUUUCAUCAGCAUCUGAUGGCCACGCCCCCUUCAAUCUCCAGCUGCACUGGUCCAGCUGUGGAGCCCCCAGUUGGGGGGGUCUGCAGGGAUGUCGGGGCCUCAACAAAGAGGAAGGUCCUCCUCAUAACAUCCGGAGCGCCCCCCGGGACAAAGACAUUGAAGCCCCCUGGAUGGAGGCCGCUCAGCAGAACUGAAAUUUGGCGGUGUGAUGACAGAAGAGAGGGCGGAGCAUCGGCGGCGACUGGCUGAAAGAUGUGCCGACAAGCCGGGAAGACAAAAAGCGGCGUGGACAUCCGUCUUCCACGCCCGUUUCCCUGGUGACUCUCCAACGGAAGUUGACAGCUGGGAGACGAUGAUGGCGACGCUUUCAUCCCACUGUUUGAUUGCACGUCUGCUCCGGGAUCGAUGGGAUGGAUGAUGGACCACUGGCCCCGCCCCCUAGAUGUCACCUCCCAAUCAUUGGAUAACCCUUGUCUGUUCUUCAGUCUAAAUUCUUGGAGGCUUCCAACAGUCUGGGAACACUUGAGGGAACUCUUCCGUUCCCUUGGAGUUUGCUUUGGAAGAACUCCAAUCCCGCCUCCUGUCUCGGUACUGCAAGUACUUCACCCAGUACGCUACCAAUGGUGAGCGUACCCUAGGGGGGCCUCCCACCAAGGAUUUCAUACCAAAUCUCAUUCCUUGAAUUUGCCGUGGUAUCAGAACAUCAGAACAGAAGCUGGCCUUCACUUUCUGCAGUCACCUUUGACCUUUUCCCAGUCCUUUAUGUCCUUCAUGUCCUUCAUCCUAGCCCUCGUCUAUGGAUGGUCUUGCUGGCAUUCAAUGCUAGCGCUCUCUUCAGCUCCUUCCAGGGGGACAUUUUAAUUGGUGUGGUACAUGAAGGUCUAGAUGUAGGUAUAAAAGAGGAAUAAAAAGAGAGCCUUUACUUUUCUGACCAAAAGCUGCUCCAGUUCCCUUUGUCUCUACUUACAUAUUCAUAUCGUGGGUGCCAACCCCCCCCCCACCCCCCCAGUAGGCAUGUCUGCUCCCCCAAGGGGAAUGGACGUGGAGACCAGAAAUUUGUUGUGCUUUUUGUUUCUACUCAGCCGCAAUCACAUCACACAUGUGCUCCAUUAGAGGGGCGGGACACCUUUUGGGACAUGUAGUCUUUCAGUGCUGUUAUUAUCUUCCAUGAGCUGCUCACACACACACACACACACACACACGGUGAUUGUAGACACUGUAGAGGCUGAUCAAUAACUCCUCCAGGCCAGAUUUCAGUCUGAUGAGGCUCUCUGAUGUGGAGCGUGGCGCUGGCCGGCCCAGACGUCCCGGGAGAGAAAAUGUGAGGGAAAGAGGCUUCAUUAUGUCCGACGGCUUCCACUCAAUGAGCUCUAAUAACUUUAAUAAGCUGCUCAGGCGGGCUGGGAGACCAAGCAAGCACGCUGGACGGAGGACGAGGAGGGAAGUCAAAGGAGAGUCGAGGAGACGCAUGCAUACGUCUCCUUCACGCCAUUCCACCACCAUCAACUCCUGGAACGCCCCCCCCAAGCAGGUGUGCUCCCCGCCUCCAACACAGGACGAACAUGCCUACACACGGCGUCGCUCAUCCAGGAACUUUCCGGACUCCCGGAUGACUCAUAAGCAGCAGUGCGCCAAAGAAAAGGAAAGCCAUUGAGCGGUGAUGGUGGGUCUCGCGGCGACGCAGCAUCCAGACUGCAGCACAUGAAGCUCUUUCUAAAUUCCGCUAACCUAUAAAUAUUUCUACAUGGAAUAUUUUGUGAAUAUAUUUAAUGAAUGUAAAUAUGGGACGUAUUAAUUGUAAUUAAUGAGGAGAUUAAGAAAAGUUUGAUGUAUGAAUAUUUCAUGCUUCUGAUCACACGCGUCCCGCUUGGAAAAGUCAAAGUCGUGACCUCAGACCAGCACCGGCAUCAUGAAUAUUCGCUUCCCUGGCCUUUUCUUCAAGGUCACGACCGGGAUCAAGUGUGUCCGGUGGGAAGAGUGGGUCUUUGUGAAAAUACUUAGACUGACUUCUUCAUGCCGGUCUUUCACACCCCCAUCCACCAAGCCGCUUUCAACCAUGGUGCUCCAGUGUGAUUUCACUUGCUGUAAGAAACUAAAGACAAAAAAAGAUAUUUCAUAUUUCAUCCCCUGUCGUUUCCAUAAUUCACUCGCCCACAAGCCCACUUUCAUCUGAGAAGUUGGACACGUAUCGUCUGCUCUUUCCUUCACGCUAACGUUCCGCCGGCGAGCGCCGCCGCCACCACGCCGCUGUCAGACUGGCAUGGCGUGCGGGAGUGACGCGGCCUUGGCAGGAAGCUGAUGACUGCUCACCAUCAGAAUCAGAAUUGCAUAUUUCUUCUAUAUGAAUAGUAUGUGAUAUUAUUCCCCAACCUCAUUUUAGUAUAAUACAAAUGUCACAUUUUUGCCAUAAUAUGAUAGCUGGUGUUUGGUUUGAAGUACGUGGGACAGACGUGGCCAUCAAAGAGGCCAGGGCGGUCUGGUACAGUAAGGCUGGUUCAGCACCUCGGUCAGUGCUUGGUAGGUGUCAAACAGGAAGUACAGUAAGGCUGGUUCAGCACCUUGGUCAGUGCUUGGUAGGUGUCAAACAGUAGGAAGUACAGUAAGGCUGGUUCAGCACCUUGGUCAGUGCUUGGUAGGUGUCAAACAGUAGGAAGUACAGUAAGGCUGGUUCAGCACCUCGGUCAGUGCUUGGUAGGUGUCAAACAGGAAGUACAGUAAGGCUGGUUCAGCACCUUGGUCAGUGCUUGGUAGGUGUCAAACAGUAAGUACAGUAAGGCUGGUUCAGCACCUUGGUCAGUGCUUGGUAGGUGUCUCUUUAAUAUUUCAACUUUGAGCUACAAAAAUGCUCUUAUUUGUCAUCCUGAUAUUACAAGUUCAUUCUUGUAAACUUUUCUUUUUUGAUAUUUGGACUUCAUUUAAAAAAAAAUCAUUUUGGUUGUGUUAUUUUUAAAUUUCUGGUAAUUUUUUUCUGGUAAUUCAGACUUUAUUCUCAUAAUGAUAUGACUUAUAUAUCAUAUGAUCACAUCUUUAUUCAAUCACAUCUUUAUUUGUUUUCUCAUAAUCCUGCAAUAUUUUUUAUAUUUCAACUUUGUUAGUAAAGUGACUUUAUUUUUGUUCCUAAUAUUAUGAUGUUUUUGUGGUGAAAUUACAACUUUGUCUUGUUGAACUGUGGUUGAUUCCGUCAGUCAAUGUGCUCUGCUUCCUUAUUCAUCAAUUCAAAGACACGUUGGACUAAUCAGGCCACAUUAGCGCCUCCUGCAGGCCUCCUGCGGGCCUCCUGCAGGCCUCCGUGUCGGUGGCGUCAGCCUCUCCGCUCAUCACGGCGGGGCGAUGAUCGUCAGGAAAAAAAGCCAAACAUCUAUUGUCAUUCUGCUGAGCGGCUUCACCUGCCAGCCGUCAAUAAAGAUGCAGAUGAAAAGUCCGCUUUAUAUUUCAUGUGCAGCCCUCCAGCCCGCUUCUUCAAGACCCUGAUUUGCUGGAGAACUGUGUGGCAGCUGAUUGGCUGAAACAAGCAGACGGAUGCCAAACAUCCCAAGUUCCUAUUAUUUUGUCCCUGCCUUUUCCCUCUUUCUUCCCUGGCAGGAGGCGUCGCCCUUGAGCACAGCCGGAAUGGACUGGUUGCUCCUUGCUGUCCUCCACGCCAUUGAGGUUGCCUCUCAUCGUAGCCAUGUUCUCCCGUUCCUCCAUGUCCUCCUCCUGCCGUUCCCUCCUGGCUGAGCACGACACCUUUUGGACCGCCGCCCGCUCCGUGGUGUUCCUUCUGCCCAUGGCCUUGUGGCCAACCUCCUUAAAUAGAUGGCAACUCAGGCGCUGUCCAUGGUUCUUAUCCUGUUCCUAGGAUGCUCGCAGAUGAGCGGCGGCGUGCUGAGCCGUGGCGCCGGCAUUGUGAUGGAUUGAGAAGAAGAGGAAGACGUGGAGGCGGCGAGCAGCGUUGUUCAUCACCCGCUGCACACCAGAUAAGCGCACACACACACACAAUGAUCCCC